GGAAGCAGGAAGUACUGCAAACAACAUGGGGACUGGGGAUGACAAGAAGGCGCUGGUUUCCUUACCCAAACACUCCUACUGGUUCGACUUUUGGGUUUUUCUCUUGUUCGACUUCGCCUUUUUCCUCUUCGUGUACUUUGUGGUUCCAUAAACGAAAUCUGGGCGUGAUGGAAGGACCUGAGACUGCGGCUCAGCUGCAGAAGAGAUGACUGUUUUCUGAUGGCCUCGGCUUCAGCUGAUUUCCUCUUGCUGAUCUGUCACCAUCACGUCCCUGCCGAGUCCAGCACACCACCGCUUUAAAACAUAUCACUAUAACAUUCCUUUCCGGACCCUGAUGCCUUGUGUAGAACACUGAUUAACAUGGCUAAGUUAUUUUUGUACAUUUCACCCGUUAAUAAUUAGAAUAUCUGUGUGUGUGUGUGAGAGAAAGAGAGCAAGAUGGACUGAUUAUCAGAAUGAAUGAGAGUGAUGGAAUUGUACUGAAAAGUAAUUCAAAUAAAAACUAAGCUAUUUUAUUGAA